rnacentral:snoRNA from 2 species
AUUCUGCUAUGAUGAUUUAAGAAUAUAAUUCACAUGUCAGACUUCAUAGAUUAUAAAAAUCAAUGAGAAUGACAAUGUUUUCCUGAACGGAUC